GAUGAAGAACGUAGCGAAAUGCGAUAAGUAAUGUGAAUUGCAGAAUUCAGUGAAUCAUCGAAUCUUUGAACGCACAUUGCGCCCGCCAGUAUUCUGGCGAGCAUGCCUGUUCGAGCGUCAUUUCAACCAUCAAGCCCCAGGCUUGUGUUGGAGCCCUGCGGCUGCCGCAGCCUCCCAAAACCAGUGGCGGGCUCGCUAUCACACCGAGUGCAGUAGUUUACUCUUCGCUCAGGGCGUGUGGCGGGUGCUAGCUGUGAAACCCCCAACUUCUCAAGGUUGACCUCGGAUCAGGUAGGAAUACCCGCUGAACUUAAGCAUAUCAAUAAGCGGAGGA
rnacentral:misc_RNA from 1 species